rnacentral:rRNA from 1 species
AGUGAACGCUGGCGGCAGGCCUAAUACAUGCAGGUCGAACGGACGCAUAGUAAGAGCUCGCCCUUACGGGUGGCGACUGGCGGAUGGGUGAGGAGUACAUCGCAAUCUACUAUUUCGUGGGGAACACCGUAGGACAACUUACGCUAAUAGCGCAUACGACCUACGGGUGAAAUCAGAAGAUCUUGAGAGCUUGGCCGACACAAUGAGCCGAUGUCGGAUUAGCUAGUUGGCGGGGUAAAGGCCCACCAAGGCGACGAUCCGUAGCUGAUCUGAGAGGAUGAUCAGCCACACUGGAACUGAGACACGGUCCAGACUCCUACGGGAGGCAGCAGUAGGGAAUAUUGGACAAUGGGCGCAAGCCUGAUCGAGCCAUGCCGCGUGAGUGAAGAAGGUCUUCGGAUUGUAAAGCUCUUUUGUUGGGGAAGAAAAGCAGCGGAAGAAUCUCCCGCUGUUCUGACGGUACCCAAAGAGUAAGCACCGGCUAACUUCGUG